GACGUAGGGCGCGAGCGUUGUCCGGAUUUAUUGGGCGUAAAGAGCUCGUAGGCGGCUUGUCGCGUCGACUGUGAAAUCCCGGGGCUCAACCCCCGGAACUGCAUUGGAUACUGCCUUGCUAGAGUACUGGAGAGGGAACUGGAAUUUACGGUGUAGCAGUGAAAUGCGUAGAGAUCGGGAGGAACACCAGUGGCGAAGGCGGCUACCUGGACCAGCACUGACACUGAGGCACGAAAGCGUGGGGAGCAAACAGG
rnacentral:rRNA from 1 species